rnacentral:tRNA from 1 species
GCUCCCGUAGCUCAGCUGGAUAGAGCAACGGCCUUCUAAGCCGUAGGUCGCAGGUUCGAGUCCUGCCGGGAGUG